UUGAAAUUUGAGAUAUUUCACACUAAUAGGCGGCGGUAGCUUUGGUGGGACGAGGCCAAGAGCCCGACAGCAGUGGAAGCAAGUUGGGGUUAGUGUUUCUGCAAUUGAGGAAGAAAUUAGAAACUGGGCUAUUUGUAUGUGCGUCUGCGUGGUAUGGAGGGUUGGGAGCUGACCAAAACGUCGAGAUAAAAUGGGUAGUGUUUCGAGUCUUCUUAUGAUAACAGUGACUCAAAACACAAAUCUUCUUGCUUUAUUUGAAUUUUUCUUUUAUUGCCAACAAUUUUAAUCUUCUCGAUAUUGAUGUCAUGUCAUUAAGCAAGGACUUGGGGAAGCAAAGAAUACAAGCAGC
rnacentral:lncRNA from 1 species